GACGAACGCUGGCGGCGUGCCUAAUACAUGCAAGUUGAGCGAUGAAGAUUGGUGCUUGCACCAAUUUGAAGAGCAGCGAACGGGUGAGUAACGCGUGGGGAAUCUGCCUUUGAGCGGGGGACAACAUUUGGAAACGAAUGCUAAUACCGCAUAACAACUUUAAACAUAAGUUUUAAGUUUGAAAGAUGCAAUUGCAUCACUCAAAGAUGAUCCCGCGUUGUAUUAGCUAGUUGGUGAGGUAAAGGCUCACCAAGGCGAUGAUACAUAGCCGACCUGAGAGGGGGAGCGGCCACACUGGGACGGAGACACGGCCAAAACUCCUACGGGAGGCAGCAGUAGGGAAUCUUCGGCAAUGGACGAAAGUCUGACCGUGCAACGCCGCGUGAGUGAAGAAGGGUUUCGGAUCGUAAAACUCUGUUGGUAGAGAAGAACGUUGGUGAGAGUGGAAAGCGCAUCAAGUGACGGUAACUACCCAGAAAGGGACGGCUAACUACGUG
rnacentral:rRNA from 1 species